UAGUGACCUGUGCCAAUUUUUGCGUUUAUCCCCGUUCAUUUGUGUCCAUUUAAGUAAAAAUAACGAUCUGUACACCUUAACGAGCUUAAUGAUACAAUUACGGGAGGCAGUGCAAACCAAAAGUGACAAAUUAUCGCCCGAUCGACGAAACCUGACUAAGUUGGUCAAGCCCUAGCCCUGAUGAAGAUGCCCCCCAAUAGCAUCGAAACGUUGGCAUUGGUAUAAAACGGACCAACCGCAUAUUAAUUGACUGAUCAGCCGAAACAAAAAACCCCAAAAUUCAU